CUCCCCUCACAAGUAUCCAGGAUGGGGGAUUGGGCGCUAGAGACCAGGUCAGAGCCCAUGCUGGGCCCAAACCAGAGCUGAUGUCAGCGGGAGCCUGUGGAAGGUUCCUAAGCCACGGUUCUCCAUGUGGCUGGCCUGGUCCAGCCUUACCACAGAGGACAGAAGUAGCUGGACUGUCGGGUCACGUGACAGGAGCUGAGCGGACCGCACACCCUGGGGUCAGCCCUUCCUGCCAGGCUGGAAAUGGAUGGGCUGCUCUCCUCCCCACCGCUUCCUCAGGGGCCUCUGCCGGAUGAGUCAAAGACCAAAAAGUCUACAGAAUCAGGUGUCGAUGACCUCAGCAAGAGUGUUUUCGGUCCCACCACGACAAAUGCUUAUUUGGGGGAAACUAAGUUCCUGAGUAAUUUGCUUUCGAAAAAGAACAUGCCCAACAGAAGAGAAUGCAGACCCUAAGAGAACAAAUCUCAGCCAGAUCUUUCACAAGGGAAGAGGGCCAUGUGACGAUGGAGGCAGAAUCUGGGUGAUGCAUGUACAGGUCAAGGAACACCAAAGUUUGCCAGCCAACCACGAGAAGCUAGGAGAGCAGUCUGGAACAGGCUCCCCCUCACAGCCCUCAAAAGGAACCGACCCUACCAACAUCUUAAUCUUGGAUUUCUUGAGAACAGUGACGCAGUAAACUUCUGUUAAGCCACCCAGUUUGCGGUACCUUUGUUGCAAUGAUCCCAGGAAACUAAUACAAAUGCCUUCAGAUGCCGGGCAAGCAGCUGAAAUGAGUGAAGUGGGUGAGGCUCGCAGGCUUCCACGGGGAGAGCUGUGCCCGCGAAUUUCCCUGAAAGGGAUGUGUCCCUCUCAGCAGGCCUGCAGGUGAAGGUGGGUGGCAGGCAGAGCCCAGAGGCCCAGAAGAGACUUUGGUUACCAGCGCUGGCGAGGACACCCGUGAGGAGAAGUAGGCCACGCAAGAGGUAGAGUUAAGCUCACUCCACCACACCCAGAGUGGCUGAACCGCUGCAGAGACAGAAACUCAGAACAUUCCCUGCAAGCAGCCAAGAAUCUUGUGUGACCAGUCUGCUCUCCUGGAUGUCCAUGUGUGGCACACUCCUCCACGCCCAGCCAGCCACCCUCAAUGCCUGGCACGGUCACCAGGAUCUCAGAAUGGAAAACCACAUCUGGGGCUGUCCCAGAACACAAGUCUUAAAAACAGUUUGCAGGACAUCCCUGCAAACUGUGGUCCGGUGGUUAAGACUCCACGCUUCCAAUGCAGGGGACAGGGGUUCGGUCCCUGGUCGGGGGACUAAGAUCCCACAUGCCGCGCAGCGCAGCCAAAACAACAACCAAAACCAACCAAACAAAAAAGAUACAUUAAAAAACCAACAACAACAUAGUUUGCAGGGCUGGAUACCUCCCUUCCCCUGCCCUUGCAGCCUCCCAGGCAGAAAGGA